AGCAGCAGCUCACUUUCAUCAGCACUGUUGAAAGAAGAAGAAAAAAUGUCUGUGCUAUCUCCUGAAAUCAAAUUUGAGACUUCUAAAGUCACUCGAAGCUCCUUGGACAACUGUUUUCCUUUUGAGAAUAGUUGGAGGAAAGCAGUUUUAGAAACACAAAAGAUGAAAAAGGAAUACACCACAGCAUUUGGGAUACAAGAGCCCAAAGAAUGUGUCAAAAUGCCGUAUUUACCAGGAUUGCCAAGUGGCCAGAAGAAUAAUAAAGAAGACUAAGACAUGCACUGUGGUACCACUUCAGAAGAAAUCAAAAGGUUCUGGCUUCAGCGACCCUCUCACUGGAGCAUCAUCUCAGUACUUACAGAGACUCUCCAGAAUGGCUAUUUUGGAGUAUGAUACCAUUCGUCAGGAAACAAGCAAAAAAUCAAAGAAAAGCAAGAAGCGAGACCUGCGAGACUGCUAAGGAAUACCACGGUGUGAUGCUUUCUUC